rnacentral:rRNA from 1 species
AUGAACGCUGGCGGCGUGCCUAAUCCAUGCAAGUCGCGCGAACAGACGAGGAGCUUGCUCCUCUGACGUUAGCGGCGGACGGGUGAGUAACACGUGGAUAACCUACCUAUAAGACUGGGAUAACUUCGGGAAACCGGAGCUAAUACCGGAUAAUAUAUUGAACCGCAUGGUUCAAUAGUGAAAGACGGUUUUGCUGUCACUUAUAGAUGGAUCCGCGCCGCAUUAGCUAGUUGGUAAGGUAACGGCUUACCAAGGCAACGAUGCGUAGCCGACCUGAGAGGGUGAUCGGCCACACUGGAACUGAGACACGGUCCAGACUCCUACGGGAGGCAGCAGUAGGGAAUCUUCCGCAAUGGGCGAAAGCCUGACGGAGCAACGCCGCGUGAGUGAUGAAGGUCUUCGGAUCGUAAAACUCUGUUAUUAGGGAAGAACAAAUGUGUAAGUAACUAUGCACGUCUUGACGGUACCUAAUCAGAAAGCCACGGCUAGCUACGUG